AAGCGAGAAGCAACCAUUGCAGUCAGUUUCGACCUGACCUUAGAUAAUUAUACUUAUCCCCGCUUU
rnacentral:tRNA from 1 species